rnacentral:rRNA from 1 species
AUGAACGCUAGCGACAGGCUUAACACAUGCAAGUCGAGGGGUAACAGGGUAGCAAUACCGCUGACGACCGGCGCACGGGUGAGUAACGCGUAUGCAACCUGCCUAUAACUGGGGAAUAGCUCCCUGAAAGGGGAAUUAACACCGCAUAACACUAUUGAUUCGCAUGGAUUGGUAGUUAAAUGUAGCGAUACAGGUUAUAGAUGGGCAUGCGUGACAUUAGCUAGUUGGUGAGGUAACGGCUCACCAAGGCUACGAUGUCUAGGGGUUCUGAGAGGAAGGUCCCCCCACACUGGUACUGAGACACGGACCAGACUCCUACGGGAGGCAGCAGUGAGGAAUAUUGGUCAAUGGGCGCAAGCCUGAACCAGCCAUGUCGCGUGCAGGAAGAACCUGCCCUAUGGGUUGUAAACUGCUUUUAUAGUAGAAGAAACACAUCUACGUGUAGAUGUCUGCCAGUAUACUAUGAAUAAGCAUCGGCUAACUCCGUGCCAGCCGCCGC